GCGGAUGUGGUGGAAUUGGUAGACACACUGGAUUUAGGUUCCAGCGGCGCAAGCUGUAAGAGUUCGAGUCUCUUCAUCCGCACCA
rnacentral:tRNA from 6 species